ACGCGAGUAUGUGAAUCAUCGAAUCUUUGAACGCACAUGGCACUGUCUGGAAUCCCGGGCAGUAUAUCUGUUUGAGUAUCGUUUCAAUCUCACUCCCAACCUGCGUGAAAAUGCGGGUUUCGUAGUGGACUUGGGGCUUUGCAGACUUAUCUGCAUGCCUUCAAAUGUAGCCGUACUAACUAUUAGAGCAGUCCGAAAGGAAUCUUUGGUAGAGAGUACCCCUAACGAAUAGGCCUUGAGCCUUGAAUUACCAUCUCAAAUCAGAUAAGAUUACCCGCUGAACUUAAGCAUAUCAAUAAGCGGAGG
rnacentral:rRNA from 1 species